GAUGAACGCUGGCGGCGUGCCUAAUACAUGCAAGUCGAGCGAACAGACGAGGAGCUUGCUCCUCUGACGUUAGCGGCGGACGGGUGAGUAACACGUGGAUAACCUACCUAUAAGACUGGGAUAACUUCGGGAAACUGGAGCUAAUACCGGAUAAUAUAUUGAACCGCAUGGUUCAAUAGUGAAAGACGGUUUUGCUGUCACUUAUAGAUGGAUCCGCGCCGCAUUAGCUAGUUGGUAAGGUAACGGCUUACCAAGGCGACGAUGCGUAGCCGACCUGAGAGGGUGAUCGGCCACACUGGAACUGAGACACGGUCCAGACUCCUACGGGAGGCAGCAGUAGGGAAUCUUCCGCAAUGGGCGAAAGCCUGACGGAGCAACGCCGCGUGAGUGAUGAAGGUCUUCGGAUCGUAAAACUCUGUUAUUAGGGAAGAACAAAUGUGUAAGUAACUAUGCACGUCUUGACGGUACCUAAUCAGAAAGCCACGGCUAACUACGUG
rnacentral:rRNA from 1 species